UACGAAGGGGCUAGCGUUGCUCGGAAUCACUGGGCGUAAAGCGCACGUAGGCGGAUCUUUAAGUCAGGGGUGAAAUCCUGGAGCUCAACUCCAGAACUGCCUUUGAUACUGGGAUCUCGAGUCCGGAAGAGGUGAGUGGAACUCCGAGUGUAGAGGUGAAAUUCGUAGAUAUUCGGAAGAACACCAGUGGCGAAGGCGGCUCACUGGUCCGGUACUGACGCUGAGGUGCGAAAGCGUGGGAGCAACAGG
rnacentral:rRNA from 1 species